CAGUAGCCGCGGUAACACGUAGGUGGCAAGCGUUGUCCGGAAUUAUUGGGCGUAAAGGGCUCGCAGGCGGUUUCUUAAGUCUGAUGUGAAAGCCCCCGGCUCAACCGGGAAGGGUCAUUGGAAACUGGGAAACUUGAGUGCAGAAGAGGAGAGUGGAAUUCCACGUGUAGCGGUGAAAUGCGUAGAGAUGUGGAGGAACACCAGUGGCGAAGGCGACUCUCUGGUCUGUAACUGACGCUGAGGAGCGAAAGCGUGGGGAGCGAACAGGAUUAGAUACCCCCGUAGUCCCUGUCUCUUAUAC
rnacentral:rRNA from 1 species